AUGACUUGGUUAUUUAACAGACGUGGAAUUACGUUUUGCUGUCAGGUUUGGUCAAAGUGUCACAAGCACCUACAAUGGAUUCUGGGAUUGAGGAUGCCGGAUGUUUCUGAGGGGGGUCAGAGUGUAGUUUGGGGGGGGUCAGAGUGCAGUUUGGGGGGUCAGAGUGUAGUUUGGGGGGGUCAGAGUGUAGUUUGGGGGGUCAGAGUGCAGUUUGGGGGGGGGUCAGAGUGUGUGUGUGGUUGGGGGGGGUAGCUUGAGAGUGCAAGGUAUCUGGACUCGGGCGUAACACAUUACUGGUCAAUGACACUAGUUGGAGGGCAAUAUGGUGGGAGGGGGGGAUGGACAAAACUCCAACUGCCAAAAUACCUAUUUUUCCAGACUCUUGGAAAGUUCUCUGUCAGAUGUUAGAAGCACAUGCUUCUCAAUGCCCUGGUCCAAAGCAGUACAGAUACAAUCCCUUGGUCAGAAUGUCCUGUAUUCCAUAGACAACUAGUUAACCCAGGAAGUAACUGGAUCGCUGGCUCUUCAUUCUCUCUACUUGGUUGGUCCAAUAGAAACGGGUGAAGAUGAAGAUCUGUAUGUUUGUUCCCUUGUAAGUAGAGGAAUGUGAUUGGACAGAAAACAGCAGGCAGGUCUGUCUGUCUAUUGGGAUAGUUGUAGACAGAAGUAGCAUUAGAUGAGUCAGGGUUAGGAGAGGAGGAUAGGUGGAGAGAGGGAGAGGUGGAGAGAGGGAGAGGUGGAGAGAGGGAGAGGUGGAGAGAGGGAGGAGUGGAAGAGGAGAGAGGGAGAGGGAAGAGAGAAGGAGAGGGAGAGGGAAGAGAGAAGGAGAGGGAGAGGGAGAGGGAAGAGAGAAGGAGAGGGAGAGGGAAGAGAGAGGGAGGAGAGAGGGAGAGGGAGGAGAGAAGGAGGAAAGAGGGAGAGGGAGGAGAGAGGAGAGGGAGGAGAGAAGGAGGAAAGAGGGAGAGGGAGGAGAGAAGGAGAGGGAGGAGAGAAGGAGAAAGGGAGGGGCAAUUCCAGCUUCCACAGGGGCUGUUACAGUUAGUGUGGUCUAUGUUCUGAGGCCUCAGCUGAAGAGAUGUACUGUACAGACACUGAGGCUAUCUGGGUAAACAUAACUCUCUCUGUCUUCCUACCACUCCCAGAGUGAAGUCAGCUCAGACACUGUGGGAGGAGACGAGGAGACGAGGAGACGAGACGACGAGGGAACGCUCUAGUCCUCUGAGCUACAGUAUUUCUGGCCAGUACUGAAAACCACAUCACAAAUACACACCUCCUCAGCCAGUGUGUGAGGACAGUAUUAUUUAACUA
rnacentral:lncRNA from 1 species